AUGCAGAUCCCCAUUUGGGGAGCAAAGCAAGCCCGCAGUUCAAUUUCCAUCCACUAUAAGUGGAGCGACUGGACGAAAUUCCGGGUUGAGCCUGCGGAGGACGAUAUCUCGAACUCCUCAGACCAGAUCCCCAUUUGGGGGGCGAAGCGAGCACGCAAUUCAACUUCCAUCCAAACCGAUUGGAGGGACUGGGCGAAUCUCGGGGAUGGGCCUGCUGGGCUAAUCGCCGAGCGCCUUCUCGCCAACGAUGUCGCGGACUACAUCUGCUUCCGUGCAGUUUGCCGUCCGUGGCGGCUCUGUUGCACCGAUCCGCGCACUCAUUGCAUCCUGGAGCGCCGCUUCCACCCACUUCACUGGAUUAUGCUCAGGGAAACGGGGGGCUCUCCACGCUGCCGCUUCAUGAAUAUGUCCACCGGAUGCUCAAGGUAUGUACAUCUGCCGGAGCUCUGUGGCCAUGACGUUUUCGGCCCUACCACGGAGGGCCUGCUCGUCCUCCUCGACAGGACCACCUGGGUGGUUCGCCUACUGAACCCGCUCACCCGCCAGGCAGUUGAUCUCCCACCUGCCACCGCUCUGAUGUCCAAGAGUGAUCUGAAGGAAGCGUCUUGCAGAAGGGAUUUGUUGCAGGUGUCGGGCGCUGGCCUUGCUGACGACUACAUCUUCGCGGUCCAUUUCAGAUGGAUCAAAACCCUUGCUGUCGUAAGGCCGGGGGAUGUGAAUUGGACAGUGGUUGCUCGUGGCAGAUGGUUGUUGCCAGCCCUGUCUUUUGCUGGCCGCUUCUACUGUGCCACCACCGAGGCUGUUAUGGUGGUGGAGACUAAUGCAGACCAGCCACCACGGCUGGUCAUCGCUGCAAACUUGACUAGGCCGUUUGCCACGAUAAUGAUGGACACUGUGCAUAUUGUGGACAAUGGCGGGGAGCUGAUACUUGUGGACCGGCAAUGCAAUGGCAAUGACAAUAGAAAAUACAAGGUGUACCGUGUAGACUUUGAAUCAAAGAAGAUGGUGCCCAUCCAUGGGCUUGGUGGACGUGCAGUAUUUAUCGGCAUUGAACGUGCCCUUUCAGUCUCACCUUUGGUGUUCCCAUCUAUCAGUGAAGAUGCAAUCUACUUGGGAUUUGAUGGGCAGACGACGGGCAAGCUGGACAAUAGCCCAAUUCAUCUCCUAUAUGGCAUUGCAGAGCCUCGUCAAUUUGAAGAUAACAUUGACGACAGCACACUUUAUGAACCCUUGGGUGUCGAUAGCUAUCUGUCUUGGUGUGUCACAGGUUAUCGGGACACCUUAAGGGACAUUGUCUGA
rnacentral:rRNA from 1 species